rnacentral:rRNA from 1 species
GACGAACGCUGGCGGCGUGCUUAACACAUGCAAGUCGAACGGAAAGGCCCUGCUUUUGUGGGGUGCUCGAGUGGCGAACGGGUGAGUAACACGUGAGUAACCUGCCCUUGACUUUGGGAUAACUUCAGGAAACUGGGGCUAAUACCGGAUAGGAGCUCCUGCUGCAUGGUGGGGGUUGGAAAGUUUCGGCGGUUGGGGAUGGACUCGCGGCUUAUCAGCUUGUUGGUGGGGUAGUGGCUUACCAAGGUUUUGACGGGUAGCCGGCCUGAGAGGGUGACCGGCCAAAUUGGGACUGGGAUACGGCCCAGACUCCUACGGGAGGAAGCAGUGGGGAAUAUUGCAAAAUGGGCGGAAGCCGGAUGCAGCAACGCCGCGUGCGGGAUGACGGCCUUCGGGUUGUAAACCGCUUUCGCCUGUGACGAAGCGUGAGUGACGGUAAUGGGUAAAGAAGCACCGGCUAACUACGUG